GUGCUUGCUUUGGCAGCACAUAUACUAAAAUUGGAAGGAUACAGAGAAGAUUAGCACAGUCCUUGCGCAAGGAUGACACGCAAAUUCCUGAAGCGUUCCAUAUUUUU
ensembl:snRNA U6 U6 spliceosomal RNA